UACGGAGGAUGCAAGCGUUAUCCGGAUUUAUUGGGUUUAAAGGGUGCGUAGGCGGGUGAAUAAGCGUGAGGUGAAAUGCCCUGGCUCAACCAGGGAACUGCCUCGCGAACUGUUCGUCUUGAAUGCUCCUGCCGUGGGAGGAAUGGGUAGUGUAGCGGUGAAAUGCAUAGAUAUUACCCAGAACACCGAUUGCGAAGGCAUCUCACGAAGGGGCUAUUGACGCUGAGGCACGAAAGCGUGGGGAUCGAAC
rnacentral:rRNA from 1 species